AGAAGGGGUGGAGCCACCCUGGGCUCACAUAGGGGUCAGCCAUUGAGGGGAAGCUUCCCUUGCACUUCAGCUGCUUCCCUGGGAGGAGUUCUGUACAGCCAGAAAGCCCCUUCACUAGUUGGAUGCUGAAUAUGUGUUCAGAGAGUACUCAGAAGUUGAUGUUUGCUGUGAGGACAUCUUCCUUAAGAAAAUAAUGAGUUACAACUUGCGAAAAUCAAAACAAGAGAAAAGGAACCAUGUUUCCAGUUUGAGCAUUUCAGUUCGUGUUUCUGUGUCCUGCUGAUAACUCUCUGCUUCUUUCCCAUGCUACCGAGUGACCACAUCUUCAGGGUCACGUGUAGAUGGUUUUGCAGGAGGAUUUGUACUGGCUAAAGAAUUUAGCCUAAAGCUAAAUUCUACUAAUGCUGUCCAAGAAACAGUACAUUCAUAUGAAUAGCAUUUGUGAUAGUGAAUACUCAGCAGUGGAUCUGUUACCAUUUAAUAGGGAUUGUAUCUUGUUUUAGAGAAAAAUAUUUGGAGUCUUACUGAAAAAAUUCUUGUUUCUGUUACAUAAUCAUCCUAAAACUCAGUUCUUAAAGGAUGUUUGUUGUUUUUCCUUUGCAAAGAUCAAGUCAAUAAUUUUUAACUCCUUCAGGUGAGCUCUUGCUUGAUUUGCGAUGUAUGUGUCACAUUUCAGUAAUGUCAACCUGAACUUUUCAC